AGAUGUGAGGGCAAUUUGGCUGUGACAUCAUUUAAGUUAUUGAGUUGAUUUGGCUGAUCUGGCUGGCUGGGCCAGUGUCCCCUUUACCCCCUCACUGCUCCAUAUGCAUCCCCCUCCCCACUGCCAAGCUAGAAGGAGACAACCUUCCCUGAAGAGAGGAGGACCGUUCUUUAGCCAAGGACAUGAUGCUCUUGUGUGCAUAAGUGGUUGUGUGGUACAGGUCAGUUACUCUAGGAUUUUCAGUAAGUUUACGUGAUCUGACAUUUCCU
rnacentral:sRNA from 1 species